rnacentral:rRNA from 1 species
UACGUAGGGGCCUAGCGUUGUCCGGAUUUAUUGGGCGUAAAGAGCUCGUAGGCGGUUCGGUAAGUCAGGUGUGAAAUCUCCACGCUCAACGUGGAGGCGCCACCUGAAACUGCCGUGACUCGAGUCCGGUAGGGGAGUGUGGAAUUCCUGGUGUAGCGGUGAAAUGCGCAGAUAUCAGGAGGAACACCAAUUGCGAAGGCAGCUCGCUGGGACGUUACUGACGCUGAGACGCGAAAGCGUGGGGAGCGAACAGG